rnacentral:rRNA from 1 species
CCUACGGGUGGCAGCAGUGAGGAAUAUUGGUCAAUGGGCGCGAGCCUGAACCAGCCAAGUCGCGUGAGGGAAGACGGUCCUAUGGAUUGUAAACCUCUUUUGCCGGGGAGCGAAAGACGCCACGCGUGGCGUUCCGAGAGUACCCGAAGAAAAAGCAUCGGCUAACUUCGUGCCAGCAGGCGCGGUCAUACGGAGGAUGCGAGCGUUAGCCGGAUGUAUUGGGUGUAAAGGGAGCGCAGGCGGAAGAUCAAGUCAGCGGUAAAAUUGAGAGGCUCAACCUCUUCGAGCCGUUGAAACUGGUUUUCUUGAGUGAGCGAGAAGUAUGCGGAAUGCGUGGUGUAGCGGUGAAAUGCAUAGAUAUCACGCAGAACUCCGAUUGCGAAGGCAGCAUACCGGCGCUCAACUGACGCUGAUGCACGAAAGUGUGGGUAUCGAACAGGAUUAGAUACCCCUGUAGUC